UACGUAGGGUGCAAGCGUUAAUCGGAAUUACUGGGCGUAAAGCGUGCGCAGGCGGUGAUGUAAGACAGGUGUGAAAUCCCCGGGCUUAACCUGGGAACUGCAUUUGUGACUGCAUCGCUGGAGCGCGGCAGAGGGGGAUGGAAUUCCGCGUGUAGCAGUGAAAUGCGUAGAUAUGCGGAGGAACACCGAUGGCGAAGGCAAUCCCCUGGGCCUGCACUGACGCUCAUGCACGAAAGCGUGGGGAGCAAACAGG
rnacentral:rRNA from 1 species